UACGUAGAGUGCAGGCGUUAAUCGGAAUUACUGGGCGUAAAGCGUGCGCAGGCGGUCUUUUAAGUCAGAUGUGAAAUCCCCGGGCUUAACCUGGGAACUGCGUUUGAAACUGGAAGGCUAGAGUGUGGCAGAGGGGGGUGGAAUUCCACGUGUAGCAGUGAAAUGCGUAGAGAUGUGGAGGAACACCGAUGGCGAAGGCAGCCCCCUGGGCUAACACUGACGCUCAUGCACGAAAGCGUGGGGAGCAAACAGG
rnacentral:rRNA from 1 species